rnacentral:rRNA from 1 species
CCUACGGGUCGCACCAGUGGGGAAUAUUGGACAAUGGGGGGAACCCUGAUCCAGCCAUGCCGCGUGUGUGAAGAAGGCCUUUUGGUUGUAAAGCACUUUAAGCGAGGAGGAGGCUUACCUGGUUAAUACCUGGGAUAAGUGGACGUUACUCGCAGAAUAAGCACCGGCUAACUCUGUGCCAGCAGCCGCGGUAAUACAGAGGGUGCAAGCGUUAAUCGGAUUUACUGGGCGUAAAGCGCGCGUAGGUGGCUAACUAAGUCAAAUGUGAAAUCCCCGAGCUUAACUUGGGAAUUGCAUUCGAUACUGGUUAGCUAGAGUAUGGGAGAGGAUGGUAGAAUUCCAGGUGUAGCGGUGAAAUGCGUAGAGAUCUGGAGGAAUACCGAUGGCGAAGGCAGCCAUCUGGCCUAAUACUGACACUGAGGUGCGAAAGCAUGGGGAGCAAACAGGAUUAGAUACCCCAGUAGUC